GAUCGAUGAAGACCGCAGCUAAAUGCGCGUCAGAAUGUGAACUGCAGGACACAUGAACACCGACAAGUUGAACGCAUAUUGCACAUCGUACAACAGUACGAUGUACACAUUUUUGAGUGCCUAUAUUUAUCUAUUCAACUGUGUGUGCUCUCCCGCUCGCGGGGGCACGCACGCAGCAUGGUGUUUUACUGCCUUCGGUGGCUGGUAAAACAUUUAAGAUACUCCCGGUUCGGGUGCGACGACCAUCACUGGCGCGCGACACGACGUGAGAAUACAUCCCACACACCAACCUGGCUUGGGCGCCGAUGUAAACUCUCUCAGUCAUCCGAUGUCGCGGUGCCGCGUCCGCCCACCACAUGAACCGUAUCUGAUAAAUCCAUGUAGGCCUCAAAUAAUGUGUCACUACCCCCUAAAUUUAAGCAUAUUA
rnacentral:sRNA from 1 species